rnacentral:SRP_RNA from 1 species
GCUGGAGUACUUCGAGGGCCUGGGCUACCGCUGCCCCGAGAACACCGACGCCCCAGACUUCCUGCAGGAGCUGCCCACCCCUGACGGCAGGCGCUUCGUCU